GACGAACGCUGGCGGCGUGCCUAAUACAUGCAAGUCGAACGCACAGUUUAUACCGUAGCUUGCUACACCAUAGACUGUGAGUUGCGAACGGGUGAGUAACGCGUAGGUAACCUGCCUGGUAGCGGGGGAUAACUAUUGGAAACGAUAGCUAAUACCGCAUAAUAUUAAUUAUUGCAUGAUAAUUAAUUGAAAGGUGCAAUUGCACCACUACCAGAUGGACCUGCGUUGUAUUAGCUAGUAGGUGAGGUAACGGCUCACCUAGGCGACGAUACAUAGCCGACCUGAGAGGGUGAUCGGCCACACUGGGACUGAGACACGGCCCAGACUCCUACGGGAGGCAGCAGUAGGGAAUCUUCGGCAAUGGACGAAGGUCUGACCGAGCAACGCCGCGUGAGUGAAGAAGGUUUUCGGAUCGUAAAGCUCUGUUGUAAGAGAAGAACGGGUGUGAGAGUGGAAAGUUCACACUGUGACGGUAUCUUACCAGAAAGGGACGGCUAACUACGUG
rnacentral:rRNA from 1 species